rnacentral:rRNA from 1 species
UACGGGGGGGUAAGCGUUGUUCGGAAUUACUGGGCGUAAAGGGCGCGUAGGCGGCCUUCUAAGUCGGACGUGAAAUCCCUCGGCUCAACCGAGGAACUGCGUCCGAUACUGAAAGGCUUGAAUCCGGGAGAGGGAUGUGGAAUUCCAGGUGUAGCGGUGAAAUGCGUAGAUAUCUGGAGGAACACCGAUGGCGAAGGCGGCUACCUGGACAGAAACUGACGCUGAGGCGCGAAAGCUAGGGGAGCAAACAGG